CCUGGUCUUGGUAAUUAAGUAUAGUCAAGGUUUUUCACCUAACUCUUUACUGAGGGCGAUACCCGAAAAGGAGGAUUGAGUUAACAAAGUUUUUCACCUCCUCGUCUCCUAAGCGACUACCCUGCUCAGCCCAACUAUUAUUUGCAACUUGCCUACAACAGAUGCGAGGAACUUUCCGCCUAGCGAGGACUGUCACUCUCACACUAGGUGU
rnacentral:lncRNA from 1 species